GUAGCAACACAACAUGACAACAACAUGGUAGCAACAGAACAUGGCAGCAGCACAACAUGGUAACAACACAACAUGGCAACAGCACAACAUGGUAGCAGCACAAAACAUGGUACAAACAUUAUUGGGCACAGACAACACCCCAAAGGCAAGAAGGACCUGAGCCCUAGGACCAUGCCUCAGGACCACCUGGUAUGAUGACUCCUUGCUGUCCCCAGUCCACCUGGCCGUGCUGCUGCUCCAGUUUCAACUGUUCUGCCUGCGGCUAUGGAACCCUGACCUGUUCACCGGACGUGCUUGUUGCACCCUCGACAACUA
rnacentral:lncRNA from 1 species